UACGUAGGGGGCAAGCGUUGUCCGGAAUUAUUGGCGUAAAGAGCUCGUAGGCGGUCCAUCGCGUCGGGAGUGAAAAGCUGGGGCUUAACCCCAGUCCUGCUUCCGAUACGGGUGGACUAGAGGUAGGUAGGGGAGAACGGAAUUCCUGGUGUAGCGGUGUAAUGCGCAGAUAUCAGGAGGAACACCGGUGGCGAAGGCGGUUCUCUGGGCCUUACCUGACGCUGGAGGAGCGAAAGCAUGGGGAGCAAACAGG
rnacentral:rRNA from 1 species